GUCUUGUUCACCAUGACGUUCAGAUAACUUCAGAGUGAUGGUGUGUUUGUGAAGAUGUGAUCGUGGCUAGAAUCUGUGGUCGCUAUGGGAGGACUGAGGCUGGUGCUGUUCUUCCUGCCUCUGUCUGUGCUGGUCCUGCAGAUUGGGAGUUUUGAGCUACAAGACACAAUUCAUGAACUGAUAGAGGAGAACAUCCACCUUCAUGACCAGCUGGAGAACCUCACUCAAGCCCUCAGGGAUCUCAAACGCAUGCUCUGGCAUCACUCAAAUGAGCCAGACCAUCAUGAACACCACAAGCAUCAUGCUGAAGAUGUGCAGCACCUGUGGGACGAAUGGUCAGAGCACGGUGUGUACCACUGCAUCGUCACAAAACAUUUAUGUGAUCUCAGGUCGGAAAGCGGUUGUGAAAGGUUUCUAGCAGAUUGCAUCGAACGGACAAGUUGUGGCAGAGGCCAUACCAUUAGUUGGCAUUGAUUUAAUGGCUAUGUAGUCUGCAGUUAGGCUUUAUGGGUCAUGUAAGCACCAGAGGGAUAAUGAAAUGGUUUGUUAAUCCACUCUGACACAGCGCUUUCUAGCAGCACCAUGUUUAGCUCACAAAGGUUUAAAAAGAGCCUGCAAGAGAUGAUGUGGACUUAUUACUUUCCUGGCAGGCAUCAGUGCAGAAACUCAUCUCCUGUUGGAACAUGCCUUUUGUGGACAUGACCUGCACAGUGCUGCUGCUGCUGCUGCUGCCCUCCGUGAAGAAACAGCCCUCCUGCUGCUGACAUUAACCAGCAUCCUCCUGCUGGUGAUGAACUGUUCGUAGGCCCCAUCAGCCUGGCAGCCGCACAACCUGAGCCAGUUUCCAACAAUAAACCCACUUUGAGACAAAGUUUCUGUCUCCGC
rnacentral:lncRNA from 1 species